rnacentral:misc_RNA from 1 species
UGGUGGGUCCCUGAGAUGCC